rnacentral:rRNA from 1 species
GGCGUUCCAUCUGGAAGAAUCUGGAGACAGGUGCUGCAUGGCUGUCGUCAGCUCGUGUCGUGAGAUGUUGGGUUAAGUCCCGCAACGAGCGCAACCCUUGCCUUUAGUUGCCAGCAGUUCGGCUGGGCACUCUAAAGGGACUGCCGGUGUUAAACCGGAGGAAGGUGGGGAUGACGUCAAGUCCUCAUGGCCUUUAUGACCAGGGCUACACACGUACUACAAUGGCCGAUACAAAGGGCAGCGACACUGCGAGGUGAAGCCAAUCCCGUAAAAUCGGUCUCAGUCCGGAUUGGAGUCUGCAACUCGACUCCAUGAAGUUGGAAUCGCUAGUAAUCGUGGAUCAGCAUGCCACGGUGAAUACGUUCCCGGGCCUU